rnacentral:sRNA from 1 species
AGUUGGUGGAGUUCUGCCCGGAUGGAAGCUGCGGCCGCGGAGUGAUGGUGGCCUCAGCGAAGAUGGGCCGGGCAGGGACCAUGGCGGUGGCAGCAGAGGUGGCAGGGGCGGGGCGGCUGGCGGUAGAGGAGGCUGUGGUCCUCAGGGGGCUGUAGGUGGAGGUAUGGCUCGGGCCAGCAGCGGGAACGGCAGCGAGGAGGCCUGGGGGGCACUUCGGGCGCCGCAACAGCAGACUGAUUCUUGCUAUUCCAAAUCCUCUUCCACGUUGACAGCCCUUCAGAUAUUUCAACACUCCUCUCAGCAUCCUCCACUUCCCCCAUCUCUCCAAGCUGAACUUGGUUCACAGGGUGGGAUUGUGUAUGUGCAUGCAGGAGGUGGGGGUGGACAGUGCCCUGGGCUGGAAUCCCCCUUAGUUCUAAGUGCCUCCUUGCCCGCAGCUUCGAGAGCUGUGCCCAGGAGUGAACAACCAGCCCUAUCUCUGUGAGAGUGGUCACUGCUGCGGGGAGACUGGCUGCUGCACCUACUACUAUGAGCUCUGGUGGUUCUGGCUGCUCUGGACUGUCCUCAUCCUCUUUAGCUGCUGUUGCGCCUUCCGCCACCGACGAGCUAAACUCAGGCUGCAACAACAGCAGCGGCAGCGUGAAAUCAACUUGUUGGCCUAUCAUGGGGCAUGCCAUGGGGCUGGUCCUUUCCCUACCGGUUCACUGCUUGACCUUCGCCUCCUCAGCACCUUCAAGCCCCCAGCCUAUGAGGAUGUGGUUCACCGCCCAGGCACACCACCCCCGCCUUAUACUGUGGCCCCAGGCC